rnacentral:rRNA from 1 species
AGCCGGCCUUGAAAUACCACCCUUUAAUGUUUGAUGUUCUAACGUGGACCCGUAAUCCGGGUUGCGGACAGUGUCUGGUGGGUAGUUUGACUGGGGCGGUCUCCUCCUAAAGAGUAACGGAGGAGCACGAAGGUUGGCUAAUCCUGGUCGGACAUCAGGAGGUUAGUGCAAUGGCAUAAGCCAGCUUGACUGCGAGCGUGACGGCGCGAGCAGGUGCGAAAGCAGGUCAUAGUGAUCCGGUGGUUCUGAAUGGAAGGGCCAUCGCUCAACGGAUAAAAGGUACUCCGGGGAUAACAGGCUGAUACCGCCCAAGAGUUCAUAUCGACGGCGGUGUUUGGCACCUCGAUGUCGGCUCAUCACAUCCUGGGGCUGAAGUAGGUCCCAAGGGUAUGGCUGUUCGCCAUUUAAAGUGGUACGCGAGCUGGGUUUAGAACGUCGUGAGACAGUUCGGUCCCUAUCUGCCGUGGGCGCUGGAGAACUGAGGGGGGCUGCUCCUAGUACGAGAGGACCGGAGUGGACGCAUCACUGGUGUUCGGGUUGUCAUGCCAAUGGCACUGCCCGGUAGCUAAAUGCGGAAGAGAUAAGUGCUGAAAGCAUCUAAGCACGAAACUUGCCCCGA